rnacentral:rRNA from 1 species
AUUGAACGCUGGCGGCAUGCUUUACACAUGCAAGUCGAACGGCAGCGCGGGGGCAACCCUGGCGGCGAGUGGCGAACGGGUGAGUAAUGUAUCGGAACGUAUCCUGUAAUGGGGGAUAACCAGUCGAAAGAUUGGGUAAUACCGCAUACGCACGAGAGUGGAAAGUAGGGGAUCGCAAGACCUUACGUUAUAGGAGCGGCCGAUAUCUGAUUAGCUAGUUGGUGGGGUAACGGCCUACCAAGGCGACGAUCAGUAGCCGACCUGAGAGGGUGAUCGGCCACAUUGGAACUGAGACACGGUCCAAACUCCUACGGGAGGCAGCAGUGGGGAAUAUUGCACAAUGGGCGAAAGCCUGAUGCAGCAACGCCGCGUGAGCGAAGAAGGCCUUUGGGUCGUAAAGCUCUGUCGGGUAGGAAGAUAAAUGACGGUACUACCCGAGGAAGCCCCGGCUAACUACGUGCCAGCAGCCGCGUAAGGAGUAGUACA